GAUGAACGCUGGCGGCGUGCUUAACACAUGCAAGUCGAACGGUGAAGCAGAGCUUGCUCUGUGGAUCAGUGGCGAACGGGUGAGUAACACGUGAGCAACCUGCCCCUGACGCUGGGAUAAGCGCUGGAAACGGCGUCUAAUACUGGAUAUGAGCUGCGACCGCAUGGUCAGCAGUUGGAAAGAUUUUUCGGUCUGGGAUGGGCUCACGGCCUAUCAGCUUGUUGGUGAGGUAAUGGCUCACCAAGGCGUCGACGGGUAGCCGGCCUGAGAGGGUGACCGGCCACACUGGGACUGAGACACGGCCCAGACUCCUACGGGAGGCAGCAGUGGGGAAUAUUGCACAAUGGGCGAAAGCCUGAUGCAGCAACGCCGCGUGAGGGAUGACGGCCUUCGGGUUGUAAACCUCUUUUAGCAGGGAAGAAGCGAAAGCGACGGUACCUGCAGAAAAAGCGCCGGCUAACUACGUG
rnacentral:rRNA from 1 species